UUAAGAGUCAUCACCACUCCCUAAUCUCAAGUACCCAGGGACACAAAAACUGCGGAAGGCCGCAGGGACCUCUGCCUAGGAAAGCCAGGUUGUCUGCCAACGCUAACUGGCCAGCUCUGACAGGAGGUGCGUGGCCCAGGAGGAGCCAUCAGGCCAGUUCUCUGGGAUACUGCUGUGUCUCCAGCUCUGCAGUUUGCUCUUCGUCACUCAGCGGCAGACGGAGAGGCAGACACGAGCCCCUUGUGAGCCCUCCUCCUUACCGUCAUCUCACAAUGCUCUGAAAUAAGGAGGCAAAUGGCUGAGGUCCCCUCAGUUGUAGAUGUGAUUGAGUUCUAUCUACCAGAAGCAUAUGCCUCCUGGAAGCCUGGUUCUAACACCUCCCACAAAAUCCUUCAAGCACUUUUUUCUGUUCCAAGGUUUGCUUAUGGGGGACCCAGUGAAGUGCUUCAGAGCCCUAGAGAUUUGCUGAGUCAUAUGAGGGGUCAGCAAACUUUUCCUGUAAAGGGUCAGAUAAUAAACAUUUUAAGCUUUGUA
rnacentral:lncRNA from 1 species